rnacentral:rRNA from 1 species
CAAGGAAUCUUCCGCAAUGGGGGCAACCCUGACGGAGCAACGCCGCGUGGGGGAUGAGGCCCUUCGGGGUGUAAACCCCUUUUCUUCGGGACGAAGCACUGACGGUACCGGAGGAAGAAGGACCGGCUAACUACGUGCCAGCAGCCGCGGUAAUACGUAGGGUCCGAGCGUUGUCCGGAGUUACUGGGCGUAAAGGGCGCGCAGGCGGCGGUGCUGGCCCGGCGUGAAAGCCCCCGGCUCAACCGGGGAGGGUCGUCGGGGACCGCACCGCUUGAGGGCGGUAGGGGCUGGUGGAAUGCCUGGUGUAGUGGUGAAAUGCGUAGAGAUCAGGCAGAACACCCGUGGCGAAGGCGGCCAGCUGGGCCGACCCUGACGCUGAGGCGCGAAGGCGUGGGGAGCGAACG